GUAGCGUUACAAUGACAACAGUAAAUAUAUCAAGGUUUGUGAUUUUGAAAAUCUAAUAUAUCAAUUGUCCGUAAGUAGUAUUAACUUACUUAUUUUGUUUGCACUCCUAUCCCACUUUAAAAUUCCUUAUUUACUUUUUGGGACGUCAAAAAAAAUCUUUGUAACCUACUAUGCUAAGUGAUAUUCAAAAGUUACCAUUCAAUUUCCCUUUCUUACAAAGCACAUACAUGCAGUGACUUUUACUGAAGUUAAAUGCAGG
rnacentral:lncRNA from 1 species